UCAAUGGUGAUUGAGUCUGGGACU
rnacentral:siRNA from 1 species